rnacentral:rRNA from 1 species
CCUACGGGCGGCAGCAGUGAGGAAUAUUGGUCAAUGGACGAGAGUCUGAACCAGCCAAGUAGCGUGAAGGAUGACUGCCCUAUGGGUUGUAAACUUCUUUUAUAUGGGAAUAAAAUGUUCCACGUGUGGGAUUUUGUAUGUACCAUAUGAAUAAGGAUCGGCUAACUCCGUGCCAGCAGCCGCGGUAAUACGGAGGAUCCGAGCGUUAUCCGGAUUUAUUGGGUUUAAAGGGAGCGUAGGUGGAUUGUUAAGUCAGUUGUGAAAGUUUGCGGCUCAACCGUAAAAGUGCAGUUGAAACUGGCAGUCUUGAGUACAGUAGAGGUGGGCGGAAUUCGUGGUGUAGCGGUGAAAUGCUUAGAUAUCACGAAGAACUCCGAUUGCGAAGGCAGUUCACUGGACUGCAACUGACACUGAGGCUCGAAAGUGUGGGUAUCAAACAGGAUUAGAUACCCCUGUAGUC